ACCUGUCCCACCUGUCCCAUUCCCGCUUUUCCAGGUGCGGCCAUGGAGGGGCUCCGGGGCCGGGACCCCCCCUUUGCCCAGGUGAUCCCUCACCUGUCCGAGGAGGAGGAGGAGGAGGAGGAGGAGGAGGAGCAGCCAGGUGAGGAGGAGGAAGGGUCAGGUGAGGAAGGAACAGGUGAAGAAGCAGGUGAGGAGGAAGAUCCAGGUGAUGAUGAAGAUCCAGGUGAGGGAGAUCCAGGGGAGGGAGACGUAGGUGAUGAAGAUGCAGGUGAGGAUGAAGACACAGGUGAGGAAGAAGCAGGUGAUGACGAAGAUCCAGGUGAUGACGAAGAUCCAGGUGAUGAAGACGCAGGUGAUGAUGAAGACCCAGGUGAGGAAGACCCAGGUGAUGAUGAAGAUGCAGGUGAGGAAGACCCAGGUGAUGAAGACCCAGGUGAGGAAGACACAGGUGAUGACGAAGAUGCAGGUGAGGAGGACCCAGCCGACCCCCCCCACCUGCGCCAGCCCCGCCUUUACCUGCGGCCACGCCCAUCCCACGACCAGCCCGGCCCCUCCCACCCACAGGUGCCCUGGCACCCGCCAGGUGCGCCCGCCUCACCUGAGCCAGGCGCCUUCGUGCAGCUCAUCGACGAGCGCGGCGUCUACUCCACCGCCAAGCUGGUGCUGGGCGGCCGCCCAGGUGCGCCAGGUGCGCCAGGUGAGGCCGAGGAGGAGGAAGGACAGCGCCAAAACGCACCUGGGGAGGAGGAGGAGGAGGAGGAAGAAGAGGAGGUCCCGUCCCACCUGGAGAUCCGCCAGGUGAUCGUGGCCGAGAAGCCCUUCCAGUGCCCCGUCUGCCACAAGGCCUUCAAGCGCACCUGGGAGCUGCUGAGCCACCAGGUGGUGCACACGGAGGCGCGGCCCUUCACCUGCCAGGUGUGCCGCGCCACCUUCAAGCGCCACUCGGACUUCAAGAGCCACGCGCUGGUGCACACGGAGGAGCGGCCGCACCGCUGCGAGCUCUGCGGCAAACGCUUCAAACGCGCCUCCAACCUGCAGGAGCACCGCCGCAUCCACAGCGGCCAGCGCCCCUUCACCUGCCCCAGGUGCGCCAAGGCUUUCAAGACGCCCUACGAGCGCCAGCGCCACGCCCUGACGCACCUGGCGGCCGAGCGGCCCUUCAGGUGCGGCGAGUGCGGCAAGGAUUUCGCGGCGGCCAAGGCGCUGCUGCUGCACCGGCGGCGCGGCUGCCAGGACAAGCCGCACGCCUGCGGCGUCUGCGGGAAGCGCUUCGCCUACGGGCACUCGCUGAAGGUGCACGAGCGCGUGCACACAGGUGACCGCCCCUUCAGGUGCGCGCUCUGCGGGAAGGCCUUCAAGCAGAGCAACGCGCUGGCCUCGCACGGCCGCGUGCACACGGGUGAGCGCCCCUUCGCCUGCCGCACCUGCGGCAAGCGCUUCAAGCAGUCCUCCUACCUGGCCGUGCACCAGCGGGCGCACACAGGUGAGCGGCCCUACAGGUGCGAGGCCUGCGGGAAGGCGUUCGCCCGGCCCUCGCUGCUGCUGCAGCACCGCCGCGUGCACAGCCAGGUGAGGCCGCACCGCUGCGGCCACUGCCACAAGUUCUUCAAGGACCUGGCCUACCUGGCCGUGCACGAGAAGGUGCACACAGGUGAGACGCCCUACAAGUGCGGGGUGUGCGCCAAAGGGUUCGCGCACCCCUCCAACCUGCUGCAGCACCAGCGCGUGCACCGCCACACCUGAGCCACAGGUGAGGCCGGCCCCGGGUCUGCACACCUGGGCAGCGACACCUGGGCAGUGACACCUGAGCCCCAGGUGAAACGACUCGGUACCUGUGAGCCCAGACAGGUGUGGACCCCAAAAAUGGAUUUUGGACCCCAGAAAGGUGCGGUAGCAACACCUGGACUGCGACACCUGAGCUGCAGGUGAAAGGACUCAGUACCUGUGAGCCCAGACAGGUGUGAACCCCAAAAAUCUUCUACGGAACCCAGAAAGGUGCAGCAGCAACACCUGGACUGUGACACCUGAGCCCCAGGUGAAAGGACUCCAGAACUGCACACCUGGACAGGUGUGGACCCCAAAAAUGGAGUUUGGACCUCAAAAAGGUGCAGCAGCAACACCUGGACAGAGACACCUGAGCUCCAGGUGAGGGAAACCCGGCACUGCACACCUGGACAGGUGUGGAACCCAAAAAUCUUCUAUGGACCCCAAAAUGUCAGCAGCAACACCUGGACUGCGACACCUGAGCUGCAGGUGAGGGAAACCCGGAACUGCACACCUGGACAGGUGUGAAAACCCCAGAACUGCAGCAGCAACACCUGGACAGAGACACCUGAGCUGCAGGUGAGGGGCCUCAGGACAGGUGUGGACCCCGAACUCUGCAGCACCUGAGGCCCAGGUGAGGGGUCACACCUGAGCUGUGACGUCACCAACAGUGGGCGAGGAACCGAGGGACCUCCAAGGUUGUGAGCGCUGUGAGGGCUCACCUGGGCACCCACCUGGGCGCUCACCUGAGCACCCACCUGAGCCCAGCAUGGACUGGGGUGGGUUUGGGAAGCUCCAGGUGCACACCUGGAUGAGGUGUGUGCACACCUGGAUAGGGCAGGGCACACCUGGAUGGGGCAGGGCACACCUGGAUGGGGCAGGGCACACCUGGAUGGGGUGGGGCCUUUCCCUCUUGGACAAUGGGGCAGGGGCAGCUCACCUGGGCACACCUGAACACACCUGAGGCACACCUGAGCACACCUGGGGCACACUUGGGCACACCUGAGCUCACCCGGGGCACAUCUGAGCUCACCUGAACACACCUGGGGUCACCCAGGGAACACCUGGGCACACCUGAGCUCACCUGGGGAACACUUGGGCACAUCUGAACACACCUGAGCUCACCUGGGUCACACCUGAGCUCACCUGAACACACCUGGGGUCACCCAGGGCACACCUGAGCUCACCU